UCGAGAAUUUUUCUCAAUGGGGGCAACCCUGAAGGAGCGACGCCGCGUGGAGGAUGAAGGUUUUCGGAUUGUAAACUCCUGUCAUUGGUGAACAAGGCCCGCGGUUAACUGCCGUUGGGUUUGCUAGUAGCCGAAGAGGAAGGGACGGCUAACUCUGUGCCAGCAGCCGCGGUAAUACAGAGGUCCCGAGCGUUGUUCGGAUUCAUUGGGCGUAAAGGGUGCGUAGGCGGCGGGGCAAGUCUGAUGUGAAAUCCUGGGGCUCAACCCCAGAACUGCAUUGGAUACUGCUUUGCUAGAGUACUGGAGAGGGAACUGGAAUUUACGGUGUAGCAGUGAAAUGCGUAGAGAUCGUAAGGAAGGCCAGUGGCGAAGGCGAGUUCCUGGACAGUUACUGACGCUGAGGCACGAAGGCCAGGGGAGCAAACGG
rnacentral:rRNA from 1 species